UUCCCAAUUUAACUCGACGUCAGAUCAACUUUUGGCCAAUGUUAUGACCACGUUUGAAAAUAUGAAAACCACGGUCAAAAAUAUGAAAAAAGAGAUGAUCACCAAAACCGAUUUGGCACAGACAACGCAGCGUUUGAACAAAAUGCAGACAUCUCGCGUCGAGAGUGUAAAGAAAGAAUUCGCAAAUGUAAUGACUACCGUUGAAAAUAUUUAAAAAAUUGCAAAUGAUGAAAUUGCUUCUGCUAGCAA